GUGGGUUUUUAGAAUGCGUACUCGAGAAGGAGAAGAGUGGGUUGAGUUGUAUUUAUGGGAAUACCAAAGGGGAGGCGUGGUCCUGCUACCAAAAUAAACCAAUUAGCUUAAAUUCACCACAGACCCCGCCAUCCACUGAAUGCGUUUAAGAAAUAGACUGUGGCAACCCACGGGCGCAGCACUCUGGACAGCGAAGAGAGCAGCACAAAGAGCAGGGGCACCGACGAGCAAGAGGUCAGGUGACCAGAAGGGGAAACACCCCGCCCCCUCAGGAGACAACGAGCGGCCCAGGUGCAGCUCAUAAGGCUGAUGAAGGUUGGCCACACUAUAAAAUACCAACCAUUCCAACAGCCCAGCAGACAAGACGAAGCGGCCGAACUAACCCGCCGAACCACACCCUCAAAAAAGGAAGAACCUAAGUUUCCAUUUUUUGUUACAAUAAAUCGUACCCUUUUCUUGUGCAACUAGACGUGCUUCUGAGUCCGGUGAUUCCACCCACACCCGUUGGUUGCCACAAGACACAUACCGAUGAUAAAAUGGGAUAAGCCUGCAACACCCAGUGUCUAAAAGCAUCUGAGCCACCAGUGUCC
ensembl:lncRNA